AAACAUCACUUUCCGCCGUAACAGAAAGCCAUUCCUGGCCCAAUGUUCUUAAAUAGCCGCAGUUUCCUGUGCUAAGGUAGCGCAAUAACUUGCCUUCUAAUUAAAGGAUCGUAUGAAAGGACACAUGACUUUCUUAUUUUCUCAUAUAUUUUAAAAUAAAUUUAACCUACAAGUAAAAAGACUUGUAUUAACAAGAAAGACGACAAGACCCUAUAGAACUUCACUAUUGUUAAACUGGGGUGGUCAACAACAAAAGCUUAUCUUCCCAAACCACACAAAGACCUGAAACUUUCAACAAAAGAACAAGUUACCUUAGGGAUAACAGAGUAAUUCCUCUCUAGACCUGUUCCAAAGAGGAGCUUUCUACCUCGAUGUUGAAUUUAAUAUUACUUCAUAAAUAAACAUUAUACAAGUAGGUCUGUUCGACCUUUAAAAUAUUACAUGAUUUGAGUUCAGACCGGCGCAAGCCAGGUCAGAUUCUAUCUUCUCCCAACUUCACUACAGUACGAAAGGACCUAAUGAUAGAUAA
rnacentral:rRNA from 1 species